CGUUGAACAGCCUUGACAUAUCUUCUAUAUUUAGGCUGUUGCAGUUUACAUGGUUGAACAGCCUCGACACACUGAGAAAAGGAUGAAGGAAGCUCAAGAGGAGGCAGACAGAACUAUUGCCAAGCUCAAAGAACAGGGAAUUGAUACAGAUACACUCUCCCCUCAAGAUAUUGCAGCUGCUGCUAUGGCGGAGCGAAGUAAAGAUCUCUAAACUCUUCAAACCAUCAGUCCUGGUUUUAGGAAACAAUUCUUAAGAGAAGAUAUUAUCCACGUGGACGAGUUUAAAGGGUCUAUAACCGUAAUUUAAAGUUACCCUCCAUGCAAACAUGGCAAUGUCCGAUUUACAACGAGUCAAUUGAAAUUGUGUUGACAGUCCCUUUAAAGGGAGUGUUCGUGUAGUUAUGUGAAGUUGGUUCAAGUAUUAAGAAACUAAGAAUCUAGCAUCGGUGUGAAAAAUGCAAUAUUCAAUAUGUACCCCAUUUUAAAAUUCAUGAACACUCCCUUUUUAAAACCACCAAGGAAACAUGUUGUCAAAGAAUUCGAGGCUCAAAAGUUAAAUUGCAUGUAUUAAUUGACCAUUGUAGAUUUUGUUCACCUAUUUUUGUUUUCAGAAAAAA